UAGGGAAUCUUCGGCAAUGGACGAAAGUCUGACCGAGCAACGCCGCGUGAGUGAAGAAGGUUUUCGGAUCGUAAAACUCUGUUGUUAGAGAAGAACAAGGACGUUAGUAACUGAACGUCCCCUGACGGUAUCUAACCAGAAAGCCACGGCUAACUACGUGCCAGCAGCCGCGGUAAUACGUAGGUGGCAAGCGUUGUCCGGAUUUAUUGGGCGUAAAGCGAGCGCAGGCGGUUUCUUAAGUCUGAUGUGAAAGCUCCCGGCUCAACCGGGGAGGGUCAUUGGAAACUGGGAGACUUGAGUGCAGAAGAGGAGAGUGGAAUUCCAUGUGUAGCGGUGAAAUGCGUAGAUAUAUGGAGGAACACCAGUGGCGAAGGCGGCUCUCUGGUCUGUAACUGACGCUCAGGUGCGAAAGCGUGGGGAGCAAACAGG
rnacentral:rRNA from 1 species